UACCUGCAGCUCGAGUGGUAACCGCUAUUAUUGGGCCUAAAGCGUCCGUAGCCGGUUUGGUAAAUAUCUGGGUAAAUCGUGAGGCUUAACUUCACGAAUUUCGGAUAGACUGCCAGACUUGGGAUCGGGGGAGGUCAGAGGUACUCCAGGGGUAGCGGUGAAAUGUUGUAAUCCUUGGAGGACCACCGGUAGCGAAGGCGUCUGACUAGAACGAGUCCGACGGUGAGGGACGAAGCCCUGGGGCGCAAACCGGAUUAGAUACCCGGGUAGUCCAGGGUGUAAACGAUGUGGGCUUUGUAUUGGAGGUCUCACGUGGGCGUCCAGUGCAGAAGAGAAGUUGUUAAGCCCACCGCCUGGGAAGUACGGUCGCAAGGCUGAAACUUAAAGGAAUUGGCGGGGGAGCACAGCAACGGGAGGAGCGUGCGGUUU
rnacentral:rRNA from 1 species